rnacentral:rRNA from 1 species
UACGUAGGGGGCAAGCGUUGUCCGGAUUUAUUGGGCGUAAAGAGCGUGUAGGCGGCCAUUCAGGUCAGCUGUGAAAACUCGAGGCUCAACCUCGAGACGUCGGUUGAAACCGUUUGGCUAGAGUCCGGAAGAGGAGAGUGGAAUUCCCGGUGUAGCGGUGAAAUGCGCAGAUAUCGGGAAGAACACCCGUGGCGAAGGCGGCUCUCUGGGACGGUACUGACGCUGAGACGGCGAAAAGCGUGGGGAGCGAACAGG